rnacentral:rRNA from 1 species
UACAGAGGUGGCAAGCGUUGUUCGGAAUUACUGGGCGUAAAGGGCGCGUAGGCGGCCUUCUAAGUCAGACGUGAAAUCCCCCGGCUUAACCUGGGAACUGCGCCUGAUACUGGAUGGCUUGAGUUUGGGAGAGGGAUGCGGAAUUCCAGGUGUGGCGGUGAAAUGCGUAGAUAUCUGGAGGAACAUCAGUGGCGAAAGCGACUUCCUGGACCAAUACUGACGCUCAUGUGCGAAAGCGUGGGGAGCAAACAGG